rnacentral:rRNA from 1 species
UACGUAGGGUGCAAGCGUUGUCCGGAAUUAUUGGGCGUAAAGAGCGUGUAGGCGGCUUGAUUAGUCUGCUGUGAAAGUCCAGGGCUCAACCCUGGAAUGCCGGUGGAUACUGUCAAGCUAGAGUCCGGAAGGGGCGAGUGGAAUUCCUGGUGUAGCGGUGAAAUGCGCAGAUAUCAGGAGGAACACCAAUGGCGAAGGCAGCUCGCUGGGACGUGACUGACGCUGAGACGCGAAAGCGUGGGGAGCAAACAAG